UACGUAGGUGGCAAGCGUUGUCCGGAUUUAUUGGGCGUAAAGCGCGCGCAGGCGGUUCGUUUAGUCCGAGGUGAAAUCUCCCGGCUCAACUGGGAGGGGUCUUCGGAUACUGGCGGACUGGAGGAGAGCAGAGGUGAGCGGAAUUCUCGGUGUAGUGGUGAAAUGCGUAGAUAUCGAGAGGAACACCAGUGGCGAAGGCGGCUCACUGGCCCGAUACUGACACUGAGGCACGAAAGCGUGGGGAGCAAACAGG
rnacentral:rRNA from 1 species